GAGUUUGGCUUGUUGUUAUGAAAAGUGUUUGUUUUGGCGAGUUUGAACGUUUUUGAGCAUGUGUAAUGGCAUGAAUGCGUUAAGCUGUUGUUUUAGUGUUCUUUUGAUGAGUUUGGCUUGUUGUUAUGAAAAGUGUUUGUUUUGGCGAGUUUGAACGUUUUUGAGAUGUGUAAUGGCAUGAAUGCGUUAAGCUGUUGUUUUAGUGUUCUUUUGAUGAGUUUGGCUUGUUGUUAUGAACAUUGUUCGUUUUGGCCAGUUUGAAGGUUUUUUAGCAUGUGUAAUGGCAUGAAUGUGUUGAAUUAGUAAUCCCUUGUGUUAAGCUGUUGUUUUAGUGUUCUUUUGAUGAGUUUGGCUUGUUGUUAUGAAAAGUGUUUGUUUUGGCAGUUUGAACGUUUUUGAGCAUGUGUAAUGGCAUGAAUGCGUUA